CUUUUGACUUCACACAAACAAGGAAUAUGGGUGGCACGUGCGUUCGAGUUGUGAAAUUUCUGGAUUGGGUAGCCAGACCUUCACAGGGAUGUAGGAGAUCAAAGUGAAAAUUCAUAUUGGAUGGCAACGCGCCAUCAAAAGUAUAGCCCAUCAACGAGUCGGCUGACAACGAUAUACGUAUUAUGAAAAUGGACUCCCACAUCCUGUCCUUUUAAAUAACAUUGAAUAUUGCGCAUACGACACAUAAGCCGGGCAACAACAGCCACAUUAUGGCAAGGCUUAUACCAUCGCCAAGCAGAGGCAUCCCCGAUUUAAUGAAAAAAAGAAAAGAAAAGACAACAUGUCCAAUAAAAGCGCAACUGUAGGCUGAUGCCUUGUAU
rnacentral:sRNA from 1 species